AUAGACUAAUUAAAGACUAAACACUCGGAACAAAAAAUUUCAAAAAUUAUGACUCAUAAGCUGUGAACCGCGGGUACCACGUUGAACCACGCAUCGGCUUGCCCCUCGUAUGACAGAACGACAUGGCAGCGCUGGUUUUUUCGAUUUCGUUUUGUGCUGAUUUACGCGCGCAUCUUGUUUGUUUUUGUUUUUCUUAGCAAUCAAGGCAGCAGGCUGCAAACAAGUCAAUCAGCUGUGCAGGGAUUUUUGUUUGGCGAAACAAGCGAAAUUUACUGGUGUUUGGUUUGUAAGAUGAUUGCUGUUUUCUCAUCAUUCCUCGCAAGCCAAAUCUGUUCAAUACGAACGGCUCGAUCGUCCGCGACCUCGCCGCCGGAUGAUUGAA